UACGUAGGGACCAAGCGUUGUUCGGAUUUACUGGGCGUAAAGGGCUCGUAGGCGGCCAACUAAGUCGGACGUGAAAUCCCUCGGCUUAACCGGGGAACUGCGUCCGAUACUGGAUGGCUCGAGUUUGGGAGAGGGAUGCGGAAUUCCAGGUGUAGCGGUGAAAUGCGUAGAUAUCUGGAGGAACACCGGUGGCGAAGGCGGCAUCCUGGACCAACACUGACGCUGAGGAGCGAAAGCCAGGGGAGCAAACGGG
rnacentral:rRNA from 1 species